AGCAGCCGCGGUAAUACGGAGGGGGUUAGCGUUGUUCGGAAUUACUGGGCGUGAAGCGCGCGUAGGCGGAUUAGAAAGUUGGGGGUGAAAUCCCGGGGCUCAACCCCGGAACUGCCUCCAAAACUGCUAGUCUAGAGUUCGAGAGAGGUGAGUGGAAUUCCGAGUGUAGAGGUGAAAUUCGUAGAUAUUUGGAGGAACACCAGUGGCGAAGGCGGCUCACUGGCUCGAUACUGACGCUGAGGUGCGAAAGUGUGGGGAGCAAACAGGAUUAGAUACCCUGGUAGUCCACACCGUAAACGAUGAAUGCCAGUCGUCGGAUAGUAUACUAUUCGGUGACACACCUAACGGAUUAAGCAUUCCGCCUGGGGAGUACGGUCGCAAGAUUAAAACUCAAAGGAAUUGACGGGG
rnacentral:rRNA from 1 species